UACGAAGGGGGCUAGCGUUGCUCGGAAUCACUGGGCAUAAAGCGCACGUAGGCGGUCUGUUAAGUCAGGUGUGAAAUCCCCCGGCUCAACCGGGGAAUGGCAUUUGAUACUGGCAGGCUAGAGAACGGUAGGGGUGAGUGGAACUCCAGGUGGAGCGGUGAAAUGCGUAGAUAUCUGGAGGAACACCGGUGGCGAAAGCGGCUCACUGGACCGUCACUGACGCUGAGGUGCGAAAGCUAGGGUAGCAAACGGG
rnacentral:rRNA from 1 species